UCAAUGUGACUGUGACACUGGAAGCAGUGUUGUCUAUUUGGGGAAGCCGUCAGUGCAGUGAUGUACGUGCUAAACCUGUGGUUAGCUUAAAAAAGUGACUAGAUAAGCUCGCAGUGCAGUAUACGAAACAUAAGAAGACAAAUAUUAUGUUCGGUGAGACAAGGCAGAAUAAAGUCCCUGUUCAAGCAAAGUUCUCUAAUAUCUCAGUCUUCUCUUCAGGACCACCGAGCCCAGGGCUGCUAAGGCUAGCUAGCAUAAACACCAGAGGACUCCCACCUUCCGUUUGGAGCGCACAUCUGCAAAGAUGCAGCAACAGACGCAUGCUGGCGGAAGCAGACAAACUGCCCACACUUGACUUCAACAGCCCUCAGUUUGAGCUGAUGAUGCUUCUUGGAUGAAGUUAACCCAGAUGUGAAAGGCAACUCAUGGAGCCAACCCAAAGGACCUCCCACUACCAGUUUGACCCAGUGCACUACUUUGGGCCUCCGAGGCCGUCUUCCUACACAGACGCCUCCUUCGAGCUUUAUCCGUCUGAGCCAGAGGCAAUGCCAGUCCACCUGGAGCCCCCCCACACUGAGCAAACCAGGAACAUGAGCACGAAAAUGAGCGAAGUCAAGGACCAGAACAACAGACGCCAGAGGAAAUCCCUCCUCCACUCUCUGGUGGGGAGCAGCCUGAGUGUGAGACCAUAGAUGAGUUCUAGCACUGAACUACACACUAAUUCUGUGUUCACACUGGAUGAGUGACAGAGCUUUUUUUCUCACUAAGCAUCAGAACUGAACUGGGCACUGACUGGUUUUUCUUAUUUUUUUUAACUCGAUUCAAACAGCAGUCACACCAAAGCACAAACGUGUGUUGUAUUUUUCAUACUGUCAGCACCUUUUCUUCUCUUUAGGUCAGGCUCUAAAUAGUGAGACAGAGGAAAGAAUAUGUUGAAUAGAGGAGGAUGUGUGAUGUCUAAACCAGGCUCUGGAGACCCUGAGGGGACUGAAUGGACUGAGAAGAGUCUUUGAGCCUCACUGAAAGAGGACACCAACAGGAUGCCGCAGGCUGACGGGAGGAGAGAGAGCUAGGGUUGUGUGUUGUCAGUGCCAGAGGGAACAAGGUGAGAAGUAGGAGCAGAUGAAAGAUGCUCUGCAGGAAGGUACCGCUGACUUGAGAUCACAGCUGUGAAACCUCCAGGCACAGCUCCAUGAUUUAAAGGCUACAGAGACUUGCUGUGGUAGAGUGAGUGGACUAGUUGACAGGUGCAGCUGCUGCAAACACCGGUGGCAGGCCUCAACUAGUCUCAAGGACACCUGAGUGUGGAGCUGGGUGGACAAAAGGACAACAUAGAGGGAAUGUUGGCGGGGCAUCUGGUCU